rnacentral:rRNA from 1 species
CCUACGGGCGGCAGCAGUCGAGAAUCAUUCACAAUGGGGGAAACCCUGAUGGUGCGACGCCGCGUGGGGGAAUGAAGGUCUUCGGAUUGUAAACCCCUGUCAUGUGGGAGCAAAUUAAAAAGAUAGUACCACAAGAGGAAGAGACGGCUAACUCUGUGCCAGCAGCCGCGGUAAUACAGAGGUCUCAAGCGUUGUUCGGAAUCACUGGGCGUAAAGCGUGCGUAGGCUGUUUCGUAAGUCGUGUGUGAAAGGCGCGGGCUCAACCCGCGGACGGCACAUGAUACUGCGAGACUAGAGUAAGGGAGGGGGAACCGGAAUUCUCGGUGUAGCAGUGAAAUGCGUAGAUAUCGAGAGGAACCCUCGUGGCGAAGGCGGGUUCCUGGACAUUAACUGACGCUGAGGCACGAAGGCCAGGGGAGCGAAAGGGAUUAGAUACCCCAGUAGUC